rnacentral:rRNA from 1 species
GAGCACGUAGGUGGGUUUGUAAGUCAGAUGUGAAAGCCUUCUGUUCAACGGAAGAAUUGCAUCUGAAACUGCGAAUCUUGAGUAUAGGAGGGGAGAAUGGAACUUCUGGUGGAGCGGUGAAAUGCGUAGAUAUCAGAAGGAACGCCGGCGGCGAAAGCGAUUCUCUGGCCUAUUACUGACACUCAGUGUGCGAAAGCUAGGGGAGCAAACGGGAUUAGAUACCCCGGUAGUCCUAGCCGUAAACGAUGGGCACUAAGUAGAGGGAAUUACCGAUAUUCUCUCUGCCGUAGCUAACGCAUUAAGUGCCCCGCCUGGGGAGUACGGCCGCAAGGCUAAAACUCAAAGAAUUGACGGGGGCUCGCACAAGCGGUGGAGCAUGUGGCUUAAUUCGAUGCAACGCGAAAAACCUUACCGGGGCUUGACAUGGUAGAAGUAGGAACCCGAAAGGGUGACGAACGGUAUCCAGUCCGUAGCUAUCACAGGUGUUGCAUGGCUGUCGUCAGCUCGUGUCGUGAGACGUUGGGUUAAGUCCCCUAACGAGCGAAACCCUUGUUUUUAGUUGCCAGCGGGUUGCGCCGGGCACUCUAGAAAGACUGCCGUCGUCAAGACGGAGGAAGGUGGGGAUGACGUCAAGUCAUCAUGGCCCUUAUGCCCCGGGCUGCACACGUGCUACAAUGGUCGGUACAAACGGAAGCGAAGCCGAGAGGUGAAGCGAAUCC